rnacentral:rRNA from 1 species
GAUGAACGCUAGCGGCAGGCUUAACACAUGCAAGUCGAGGGGCAUCGAGAGUAGCAAUACUUGUCGGCGACCGGCGCAAGGGUGCGUAACACGUGAGCAACAUACCCGUUUCAGGAGGAUAACCGGAGGAAACUCUGCCUAAUACUCCAUGACAUCAUCAAACGGCAUCGUUUGAUGAUUAAAGAUUUAUCGGAAACGGCUUGGCUCGCGGGACAUUAGCUCGUUGGUGAGGUAACGGCUCACCAAGGCGACGAUGUCUAGGGGUUCUGAGAGGAAGGUCCCCCAACUGGAACUGAGACACGGUCCAGACUCCUACGGGAGGCAGCAGUGAGGAAUAUUGGACAAUGGUCGGAAGACUGAUCCAGCCAUGCCGCGUGAAGGUUACUGUCCUAUCGGAUAUUAAACUUCUUUUGUAUGAGAGCAAUAAGGUGCACGUGUGCACCGAUCGAGAGUAUCAUACGAAUAAGCAUCGGCUAACUCCG